AAAAAAGAUCAAAAAUUAAAAUAUGGAGUGCUGAGAAGGGAGAAGAAAAUAUUUUUUUUCGAUUUUUCACUAUUUUAAACGAAAGUUGCACUCUUUGAGACAGAAUUACACUCUUUUAUAAUGAGAGUUACACUAUUUAGACCAAAAUUGCACUCUUUCCAUAAAUUUUACACUAAUUCUUUUUCACCUCUUCUCCCUCCUCCUUCCUCUCAUCCUUAUCCGCAGGAGGCUGUAGCCGCGGACCUCAAGCCCACCACCUCCCUUCCUAUUCCUUUCCACCUCUCUAUUUAUACUCACCCCCCUCUCACUCCUCUUCUCCCUUCUCAGCACGCCAUAUUUUUUGUCCCUCCAAAAAAAAAAAAAGAAAUUAUUCUUUUCCUCACCGCGUCGUACCUCAACUUCGCGGGCCUCGUCGACACCUCCUCCCGCUACCUCCUCCUCUCUGCCUCGUG
rnacentral:lncRNA from 1 species